rnacentral:rRNA from 3 species
AAAUUGAAGAGUUUGAUCAUGGCUCAGAUUGAACGCUGGCGGCAGGCCUAACACAUGCAAGUCGAACGGUAACAGGAAACAGCUUGCUGUUUCGCUGACGAGUGGCGGACGGGUGAGUAAUGUCUGGGAAACUGCCUGAUGGAGGGGGAUAACUACUGGAAACGGUAGCUAAUACCGCAUAACGUCGCAAGACCAAAGAGGGGGACCUUCGGGCCUCUUGCCAUCGGAUGUGCCCAGAUGGGAUUAGCUAGUAGGUGGGGUAACGGCUCACCUAGGCGACGAUCCCUAGCUGGUCUGAGAGGAUGACCAGCCACACUGGAACUGAGACACGGUCCAGACUCCUACGGGAGGCAGCAGUGGGGAAUAUUGCACAAUGGGCGCAAGCCUGAUGCAGCCAUGC